CCCAGACCUGAGUUCCCUGGUUCUUCUACUCACAGAUCACCACUGGUCAGAGACCAUCACCAUGAACUUGGGGCUCAGUUGGCUUUUUCUUGUCAUUGUUUUAAAAGGUGUCCAAAGUGAGGUUCUGCUUGUGGAGUCAGGAGGAGGUUUGGUGCAACCUGGAAAGUCCCUGAAACUCUCCUGUGUGGCCUCUGGAUUCACCUUCAGUAACCACUGGAUGAGUUGGGUCCGCCAGGCUCCAGGGAACUCCCUGGAGUGGGUUGCAUCUAUUUAUAAUAGUAAUAACAUCUACUACAGCGAUGCUGUGAAGGGACGAUUCACCAUCUCCAGAGACAAUGCCAAGAACACCCUAUACCUGGAAACGGGCAGUUUGAAGUUGGAGGACACAGCCACAUAUUACUGUGCAAGAGACACAGUAAGUGAAAGCUACUGUGAACUCAGACACAAACCUCCAUGCAAAGUGCUCAGGACCAGCAGGUGGCGCAGACAGCACACAGAGCUCUGGGCCACAGAGGAGCCUGAUCGGAGAGGCAUAAAGGGAUGGACCACUCUAUGUCUGGGCUGCAUCUCCAUAUCACACUCUAAGAUUCUCUCUACAAGAAUAAAUCAGAAAGAACUGGUGUAUAAGAAUUCAAGAUCCACACCAAGUGACACAGUUCCUCCUGAGGCACCACCUCUCAGGCAUUCCAUAGCAUCUCUAAAAAACACCAUCAGAUAG